rnacentral:rRNA from 1 species
GACGAACGCGGCGGCGUGCCUAAUACAUGCAAGUUGAGCGCUGAAGGUUGGUACUUGUACCAACUGGAUGAGCAGCGAACGGGUGAGUAACGCGUGGGGAAUCUGCCUUUGAGCGGGGGACAACAUUUUGGAAACGAAUGCUAAUACCGCAUAAAAACUUUAAACACAAGUUUUAAGUUUGAAAGAUGCAAUUGCAUCACUCAAAGAUGAUCCCGCGUUGUAUUAGCUAGUUGGUGAGGUAAAGGCUCACCAAGGCGAUUGAUACAUAGCCGACCUGAGAGGGUGAUCGGCCACAUUGGGACUGAGACACGGCCCAAACUCCUACGGGAGGCAGCAGUAGGGAAUCUUCGGCAAUGGACGAAAGUCUGACCGAGCA